CUCAACGAGCUUGUUUCUAUUACAUUUCUCCGAGCUCAGGAGAAUUACUUCUACUCUAAGACUGUACCAAUGUGUAAGAAUGCGGUUUUAGCAGAAGGCAAAACAUAAUGGUGACCCCGACGUGAUGUCUUUUUGUAAAAGAUAUCAUCAUUGAACAACGGUCUUAGGGCAGUAGUAGUGUAGUGAAUGUCAAUUAAAUUAUCAAA